rnacentral:telomerase_RNA from 1 species
GUCUUUCGAGGUCGCGGGCGGUAGAAACGGAAGUAUCUACCAAACGCUAACCCUGACUUUCCACAGCUCUCCUUCCUGAAUUGCUUGUCUUUAUGGUGGGGUUCCAGGCAAUAGAGGAGAGUUUAAAUAACAAAAGAACCCUACUCUGAGCGGUCUCUCGAAUGAUAUGCGUGCGUACAACAUUCGUAAGAAUACAAACUAUUUUCAAUUGGCCACAUUAGGUCGCCCCCGGUCCGGCCAUCAUCUCCUCGUCGGGUUGUUCCUGCUGAGUUCGUCCCAGCGGUGGCUCGUGGGAGUUGAUAAUGUAUUGAAAGUAGGUUGUGUCCUAUGUUCAGAUUAAACUGCCAUCAUAUACGCCGUCACAUUAGGUGUUGUGGUCGACAAAAACGUUGGCAAACAAUU